GAUGAACGCUGGCGGCGUGCUUAACACAUGCAAGUCGAACGGUGAGGCCCUGCUUUUGUGGGGUGCUCGAGUGGCGAACGGGUGAGUAACACGUGAGUAACCUGCCCUUGACUUUGGGAUAACUUCAGGAAACUGGGGCUAAUACCGGAUAGGUGCUGCUGCUGCAUGGUGGGGGUUGGAAAGUUUCGGCGGUUGGGGAUGGACUCGCGGCUUAUCAGCUUGUUGGUGGGGUAGUGGCUUACCAAGGCUUUGACGGGUAGCCGGCCUGAGAGGGUGACCGGCCACAUUGGGACUGAGAUACGGCCCAGACUCCUACGGGAGGCAGCAGUGGGGAAUAUUGCACAAUGGGCGGAAGCCUGAUGCAGCAACGCCGCGUGCGGGAUGACGGCCUUCGGGUUGUAAACCGCUUUCGCCUGUGACGAAGCGAGAGUGACGGUAAUGGGUAAAGAAGCACCGGCUAACUACGUG
rnacentral:rRNA from 1 species